rnacentral:rRNA from 1 species
GACGAACGCUGGCGGCGUGCUUAACACAUGCAAGUCGAACGGAAAGGCCCUGCUUUUGUGGGGUGCUCGAGUGGCGAACGGGUGAGUAACACGUGAGUAACCUGCCCUUGACUUUGGGAUAACUUCAGGAAACUGGGGCUAAUACCGGAUAGGAGCUCCUGCUUCAUGGUGGGGGUUGGAAAGUUUCGGCGGUUGGGGAUGGACUCGCGGCUUAUCAGCUUGUUGGUGGGGUAGUGGCUUACCAAGGCUUUGACGGGUAGCCGGCCUGAGAGGGUGACCGGCCACAUUGGGACUGAGAUACGGCCCAGACUCCUACGGGAGACAGCAGUGGGGAAUAUUGCACAAUGGGCGGAAGCCUGAUGCAGCAACGCCGCGUGCGGGAUGACGGCCUUCGGGUUGUAAACCGCUUUCGCCUGUGACGAAGCGUGAGUGACGGUAAUGGGUAGAGAAGCACCGGCUAACUACGUG